rnacentral:rRNA from 1 species
UCGAACGGAGCACCCUUGAAAGAGAUUUCGGUCAAUGGAUAGGAAUGCUUAGUGGCGGACUGGUGAGUAACGCGUGAGGAACCUGCCUUCCAGAGGGGGACAACAGUUGGAAACGACUGCUAAUACCGCAUGACACAUGACCGUGGCAUCACGGACAUGUCAAAGACUUAUCGCUGGAAGAUGGCCUCGCGUCUGAUUAGCUGGUAGGCGGGGUAACGGCCCACCUAGGCGACGAUCAGUAGCCGGACUGAGAGGUUGACCGGCCACAUUGGGACUGAGAUACGGCCCAGACUCCUACGGGAGGCAGCAGUGGGGAAUAUUGGGCAAUGGGCGCAAGCCUGACCCAGCAACGCCGCGUGAAGGAAGAAGGCUUUCGGGUUGUAAACUUCUUUUAAGGGGGAAGAGGAGAAGACGGUACCCCUUGAAUAAGCCACGGCUAACUACGUGCCAGCAGCCGCGGUAAUACGUAGGUGGCAAGCGUUGUCCGGAUUUACUGGGUGUAAAGGGCGUGCAGCCGGGAGGACAAGUCAGAUGUGAAAUCCCGCGGCUCAACCGCGGAACUGCAUUUGAAACUGUUUUUCUUGAGUACCGGAGAGGUCAUCGGAAUUCCUUGUGUAGCGGUGAAAUGCGUAGAUAUAAGGAAGAACACCAGUGGCGAAGGCGGAUGACUGGACGGCAACUGACGGUGAGGCGCGAAAGCGUGGGG